CCUGUAAACCUGUGGAAACACGGGUCCCUCCUUCGGGAGCAGGUGUAGAGGUGCUGCAUGGCUGUCGUCAGCUCGUGUCGUGAGAUGUUCGGUUAAGUCCGCUAACGAGCGCAACCCUCGUCGUAUGUUAUAUGUGUCAUACGAGACUGCCGGUAAAAGCCGGAGGAAGGUGAGGAUGAUGUCAAGUCAGCAUGGCCUUUAUAUCCAGGGCUACACACACGCUACAAUGGUCUGUACAAUGGGUAGCCAAGCCGCGAGGCGGAGCCAAUCCUGAAAGCAGGCCUCAGUUCAGAUUGCAGUCUGCAACUCGACUGCAUGAAGCCGGAGUUGCUAGUAACCGCAGGUCAGCAAUACUGCGGUGAAUACGUUCCCGGGUCUU
rnacentral:rRNA from 1 species